UACGUAGGGUGCAGGCGUUAAUCGGAAUUACUGGGCGUAAAGCGUGCGCAGGCGGUUUCUUAAGUCAGAUGUGAAAGCCCCGGGCUUAACCUGGGAACUGCGUUUGAAACUGGGAGACUUGAGUGUGGCAGAGGGGGGUGGAAUUCCACGUGUAGCAGUGAAAUGCGUAGAGAUGUGGAGGAACACCGAUGGCGAAGGCGGCCGACUGGACCACACCUGACGCUGAGGCGCGAAGGCCAGGGGAGCGAACGGG
rnacentral:rRNA from 1 species